rnacentral:rRNA from 1 species
UGGGGAAUAUUGCACAAUGGGCGCAAGCCUGAUGCAGCCAUGCCGCGUGUGUGAAGAAGGCCUUCGGGUUGUAAAGCACUUUCAGCGAGGAGGAAGGCAUUAAGGUUAAUAACCUUAGUGAUUGACGUUACUCGCAGAAGAAGCACCGGCUAACUCCGUGCCAGCAGCCGCGGUAAUACAGAGGGUGCAAGCGUUAAUCGGAAUUACUGGGCGUAAAGCGCACGCAGGCGGUUUGUUAAGUCAGAUGUGAAAUCCCCGAGCUUAACUUGGGAACUGCAUUUGAAACUGGCAAGCUAGAGUCUUGUAGAGGGGGGUAGAAUUCCAGGUGUAGCGGUGAAAUGCGUAGAGAUCUGGAGGAAUACCGGUGGCGAAGGCGGCCCCCCUGGACAAAAGAC